CCAGAUGUAGUUCAGUGGUAGAGCACUUGCCUAGCAGGAACAAGGCCCUGUGUUCAAUUCCCAGCAUCUGGG
rnacentral:tRNA from 1 species